rnacentral:rRNA from 1 species
GACGAACGCUGGCGGCGUGCUUAACACAUGCAAGUCGAACGGAAAGGCCCCCACUUUUUUGGUGGGGGUGCUCGAGUGGCGAACGGGUGAGUAACACGUGGGUGAUCUGCCCUGUACUUCGGGAUAAGCUUGGGAAACUGGGUCUAAUACCGGAUAGGACCAUGGUUUAGUGUCUCAUGGUGGAAAAAUUAUUGUUUUGGUGCAGGAUGAGCUCGCGGCCUAUCAGCUUGUUGGUGGGGUAAUGGCCUACCAAGGCGUCGACGGGUAGCCGGCCUGAGAGGGUGGACGGCCACAUUGGGACUGAGAUACGGCCCAGACUCCUACGGGAGGGAGCAGUGGGGAAUAUUGCACAAUGGGCGCAAGCCUGAUGCAGCGACGCCGCGUGGGGGAUGACGGCCUUCGGGUUGUAAACUCCUUUCGUUAGGGACGAAGCCGCACCUUUUUUGGGUGUGGUGACGGUACCUUUGUGAAGAAGCACCGGCUAACUACGUG